AUGAAGCACGAGGAAGUGAGUGUUGGCAAAGAAAAAGACAAGGGAAAGGAAAAAGAGGUUGUUGUUGUGUUGUGUUGUGUUGUGUUGUGUGUGUCUAUUUCUUCUAGUUUUCAAUUCUUUGAAGAUUUGACUCUAUUGUUAUUUCUUAGAAGCUGCUUCUCUUCUCUCAUUCAUGCACAACUUUGGUGGGUGGUUAUUGCUCUUAAUCAAUUGCUAAAUUUAAGAAAUAAUUUAUUAAAAUAUUGA